rnacentral:lncRNA from 1 species
CUCUCUGAUUUUGGACUGCUCCAAACCUCUUUGCAAAUGCCUUCAUCAUCAAGCAAGUUAGUUAGAUAAAAAUAUAAGAGCUCCACUUGCUUAAAUGUUUCAAUUUUUACGUAGAGCAGCAUUAACAAAACAACAAGCAAACUUUAUCUCACUAAAUCUUAAUAAUAUGUAACUGGACCAAAUGAUGUUAUAAUGUUCAAACCAUUGGCCUCUAAAUUUUAAUAUUUUGUAUAUGUAUGAAUCUACAGUCAAUUAAAAAUAUACAUUAAAGAUAACAGUGAUAUAGCAAAUAUCCCAUGUACAAUUAUAACGCAAGCAUAUUUGAAGAAAAAUAAGGCCAAAAGGUGAGCAAUGUACAGAAACACAUGAAAAUACGUUUAACAAUACACAGUUAAAAAAAAAAAAAAAAAAAAGCAAUCUCAUGAACAGAUCGUUGAAACUUGGGAAAUAUACACUUCCAUGUCAUUUAGAAAAAGAAACAAAUGCAAGCUUUUCGAACUGGAUUAUAAUUCUUCAAAGAAAAAUGAUAAAAAAAAUAAAAAAAACAGAUGCAAGUUAGUGAACCUCAAAAUGCAGUCCACCUUUCAAAACCUUACUUAUUCUCACUUAUUAAAAAUUUCAUUAAAUUAUGAAUCACAAGUAGGUAACAAACAUUGUUGAUUAAACCACAUUAAGCCAUAGCCAGAAACAUCAUAUCCCUAUUUAGCCAUACUACACUAACUAAGUAACUAACUGAUCCAAUUCAUCAUAUUUUACAACUAACUAAACUAAUUAUUGACUAUUUUCUUUUAUCCUAUCUUUUUAACUUCCAAGAUCACAAGUCCUCGUCUAAUUAACAAAUGGAAGAUUAAUCUGCCUAUAGCAUAUUAUCAUUGAGAUUAUUCAGAAAGCACAAAACCCUGUUCAAGCUAUGGUUUUAAAAACCUUGAUCUUUAUCUACGAAGCACUGAACCAUACUCGGACACCUAUGAAACACUAACAGACUCAUGAGAUACCUGACAACACCCGUAGUAAUUUGAAAACAGAUGUGUUAUUUGAACAUAAAAAACACUUGAAACCGUACGCGAUUUCAAUUUCUUUAGUUUGAAACAUCAUUUCUCUUUUGAAAAAUGUAAGUGAUUCUCUAUAACUUUUAAUGUUUUACUUUUGGAGGAGCUAAAGUUGAUUCUAGAAGUGUAGAAUUAAUUGACAUAUUUGGUUGCUUUUGAGUAGAAUCGAUUUUGUUAUGAUUUGUUGCUUUCAAUUUACUUUUUAAAUCACUUUAUGUGACAAAAAUUGAUUUUGAAUGAAUUGGUUUUAUAAAAUUGAUUCCGACUAAAAUGAGUCGAAGGUAAAGUGAUUUGAACGUGUAAAAUUUAUUUUAGAAUCAAAAGCUACAACUCUUAACUUUAAGUACAAUCAAUUAUAAAAGGCAAAAUCAAUUCUACUUGAAAACAGCCAAACAAGAUACACCCUCAGGUCACUAUUAUAAGCAAAAAUUCAUUUUCUAGGUUCAUUCAUUAAAUGUUGUACGUGGUCUAUGUUUAGGUUACAUAACAUUUAAUGAAUGAACUUAAAAUAUGGUUUUUUUCUUAUAAUAGUGACCAGAGGGUAUACAACUCUUAUCAAUUUUGCACUUGAAAUCAAUUUAUGUACGACAACAAAACCAAAACACAUGUUUGGGUGUCAUAUGAUGUCCGUGUCCAUCUUCGGUAUUAAAAGUGUUCACACCUUCAUAAAUAUGAAGUGACCCAGUAAUUUAAUUAAAUUUAAUUAUUCAAAAUAAAGAAAGUAAAUUUGAUUCACAAACUCCAACAAGUAAAAAAAGUAGCGAACCUGUCUUAAAACAACAACUUUAUGAUCAUCAUCAGGUUCUUCAAUUUCCACAAUACGCAAUCUUCUUUCUUUCUUCUUCUCUUUCACCUUCUCCUUUUCAUUCACAUUCUUUUUCUUCUUCUUCUUUUCAUCAUCACUUCCACUUUCAACACCAAAUGUAUACUUCCUAUUAUUCCCACUAUCUUCCCCCUUUCCUUUAAUCUCAGCCGUCCAUUUCACAUUCUUCACAACCGCACUUUUCUUCUUCUCUUCUUCAACCAAUUCAGCUAUCCAUUUAUACUUUCUAUCAAACCCAUUCUUCUCUCCAUCUUUUAUCUCAGCCGUCCACGUGUACUUCCGACCACCACUACCACCGCCGCUGUCAUUCUUCUUCUCUUUCUUCUUCCCCUUCCC